CGGGCUGUAGUAUACCGGCAGUACGCAUGGCUGGGGGUCAUGUAGACCGGGUUCGAUUCCCGGCAGCCCGA
rnacentral:tRNA from 1 species